GAUGAACGCUGGCGGCGUGCCUAAUACAUGCAAGUCGAACGAACAGAUGAGGCGCUUGCUCCUCGCACGUUAGCGGCGGACGUGUGAGUAACACGUGGAUACCCCACCUAUAAGACUGGGAUAUCUUCGGAAAACCGGAUCUAAUACCGGAGAAUAUAUUGAACCGCAUGGUUCGAUAGUGAAAGUCGGUGUUUCUGGAACGUCUAGAGGGAUCUCCGCCGCAUGAGCUAGUUGUUAAGUUAACGGCUUUUCACGGCAACGAUGCGUAGCCGAGCGGAGAGGGGGGUAGGCCACAUGGGAGCUGAGACGCGGUCCAGACUCCUACGGGAGGCAGCAGUAGCGAACCGGACGCAAUGGGCGAGAGCCUGACGGAGCAACGGCGCGUGUGUGAUGAAGGUCUUCGGAUCGUAAAACUCUGUUAUUAGGGAAGAACAAAUGUGUAAGGAACUAUGCACUUCGUGACGGUACCGGAUAAGAAAGCAACGGCUAACUACGUG
rnacentral:rRNA from 1 species